rnacentral:rRNA from 1 species
UGCAGUCGAGCGGUACAUUUCUAGCUUGCUAGAAGAUGACGAGCGGCGGACGGGUGAGUAAUGCUUGGGAAUAUGCCUUUGAGUGGGGGACAACAGUUGGAAACGACUGCUAAUACCGCAUAACGUCUACGGACCAAAGGGGGGGAUCUUCGGACCUCUCGCUCAUUGAUUAGCCCAAGUGAGAUUAGCUAGUUGGUAAGGUAAUGGCUUACCAAGGCGACGAUCUCUAGCUGGUUUGAGUGGAUGAUCAGCCACACUGGGACUGAGACACGGCCCAGACUCCUACGGGAGGCGGCAGUGGGGAAUAUUGCACAAUGGGCGAAAGCCUGAUGCAGCCAUGCCGCGUGUGUGAAGAAGGCCUUCGGGUUGUAAAGCACUUUCAGUUGUGAGGAAAGGGGUGUAGUUAAUAGCUGCAUUCUGUGACGUUAACAACAGAAGAAGCACCGGCUAACUUCGUGCCAGCAGCCGCGGUAAUACGAGGGGUGCAAGCGUUAAUCGGAAUUACUGGGCGUAAAGCGUUCGUAGGCGGUCUAUUAAGCAAGAUGUGAAAGCCCAGGGCUCAACCUUGGAACUGCACUUUGAACUGGUAGACUAGAGUACUGUAGAGGGUGGUGGAAUUUCCAGUGUAGCGGUGAAAUGCGUAGAGAUC